rnacentral:rRNA from 1 species
CCCCGGGCAUGUCUAGUACGGCGAGUGACAGGCAGAGCUCAGAUUUGAAAGGCACUUUUGUGCCGUUGUAUUCUGAAGUUAGGGUCCUGAGAAACGAUGCUUAAGUCUUCUGGAAAGGAGCGCCAUGGAGGGUGAUAGCCCCGUCUAGCAUUGACCUCAUAUAGGAUCUUAACAUGGAGUCGAGUUGUUUGGGAAUGCAGCUCAAAUGGGUGGUAUGCUCCAUCUAAAGCUAAAUAUCUGCGAGAGACCGAUAGUAAACAAGUACUGUGAGGGAAAGAUGAAAAGAACUUUGAAAAGAGAGUGAAAAAGUACGUGAAAUUGUUGAAAUGGAAGGGUAGGCCGCUAACCAUGUAGAGCCGUGUUUGGGGGGAAGAUAAAUGCUGUAGAAUGUAGCUCCUCGGAGUAUUAUAGAUGCAGUUCAUAUUCCCACCCGAGCGCGAGGAUCUCAGGUUCUACUAAAUGGUGGUCUACCACCCGUCUUGAAACACGGACCA